ensembl:lncRNA
CCCGAGGUGAGCACUGAGUCAGCUGCAGGACCACAGGUGAAGGCAAUUCAACUGUGACCGGAAGGGGUGGAGCCUGGCUCCACCUCUUCUAGAUCCCAUUUAAGGGCUGUCUGCCACUGGGAAAGGAUCUCUUUCUGGGAUUGCUCCUCUUAGAGUUUUUCCUGUGAGCAUACAACACAGUUAUAAAUCAGCCCUGUGGACUGUCUUAUCAUGCAAUCCUGCCAGCUCAACUCUGACUAUAGCCAAGGAUGAAGAAGGCAAGAGGACCCUACUGCACAGAAUGGAGAAAUCUUAUGAAGAGAAGACAACUUUUGUCCCAGUUU